rfam:Trichomonas vaginalis G3, whole genome shotgun sequence.
CAUCAAAAACCAAGUCUCUAAGCAAUGGAUGUCUUGGCUCCUCACACGAUGAAGAACGUGGCAUAAUGUGUUAAGUAACCGGAGUUGCAAACAUCAUGACAGGUUAAUCUUUGAAUGCAAAUUGCGCUAAACUCGAUCUCGGUCGAGAAGCAUGGGUGUGACAGUACUACAUCUUUUAUAAUAAUUCUUAUUCUAAGCGAAUAAGUAAAUAAUAUAUAAGACAAACAACACGUAGUCUGCCAUACGCAGGAAGACCCGCUGAACUGAAGCAUCUCAUUAAGCGGAGGAAAAGAAACUAACUAGGAUUCCCUUAGUAAAUGCGAUCGAAAAGGGAACAGCCCACGUCUAAUCCCGCAAGGAAAUGUAGUCGUCACCUAUUGCACUGUCUAAGUCAGAUGGAAUGCUGCGCGAUUC